ACGAGCGCAACCCCUAUCGUUAGUUGCUAGCAGGUAAUGCUGAGGACUCUAGCGAGACUGCCANCGUAAGGUGAGAGGAAGGUGGGGAUGACGUCAAAUCAGCACGGCCCUUACGUCCAGGGCUACACACGUGUUACAAUGGCUAGUACAAAGGGCAGCUACCUGGUGACAGGAUGCUAAUCUCAAAAGCUAGUCUCAGUUCGGAUCGGAGUCUGCAACUCGACUCCGUGAAGUUGGAUUCGCUAGUAAUCGUAUAUCAGCAAUGAUACGGUGAAUACGUUCCCGGGCCUUGCACACACCGCCCGU
rnacentral:rRNA from 1 species